GGUCGCUUAGCUCAGUUGGUUAGAGCGUGGUGCUAAUAGGUUUCUACCCUUGAUACGCCAAGGUCGCGAGUUCGACCCUCGUAGUGACCA